AGCCCAGAGAAAUUUGGAUUAAUACCUCAUGGUAUGUAUAGAUGGCAUCAUCAUUACAUUAAAGGUUACGGUAUAAGAUGACUAUGCGUCCUAUUAGCUAGAUGGUGUGGUAACGGCACACCAUGGCAACGAUAGGUAGGGGCCCUGAGAGGGGGAUCCCCCACACUGGUACUGAGACACGGACCAGACUCCUACGGGAGGCAGCAGUGAGGAAUAUUGGACAAUGGGGGCAACCCUGAUCCAGCCAUGCCGCGUGCAGGAAGACUGCCCUAUGGGUUGUAAACUGCUUUUAUACAGGAAGAAACAGUCCUACGUGUAGGACCUUGACGGUACUGUAAGAAUAAGGAUCGGCUAACUCCGUGCCAGCAGCCGCGGUAAUACGGAGGAUCCAAGCGUUAUCCGGAAUCAUUGGGUUUAAAGGGUCCGUAGGUGGAUAAUUAAGUCAGAGGUGAAAUCCUGCAGCUCAACUGUAGAAUUGCCUUUGAUACUGGUUAUCUUGAGUUAUUAUGAAGUAGUUAGAAUAUGUAGUGUAGCGGUGAAAUGCAUAGAUAUUACAUAGAAUACCAAUUGCGAAGGCAGAUUACUAAUAAUCAACUGACACUGAUGGACGAAAGCGUGGGGAGCGAACAGGAUUAGAUACCCUGGUAGUCCACGCCGUAAACGAUGGUCACUAGCUGUUUGGACUUCG
rnacentral:rRNA from 1 species